AUUGAACGCUGGCGGCAGGCCUAACACAUGCAAGUCGAGCGGAUGAAGGCAGCUUGCUCCUGGAUUCAGCGGCGGACGGGUGAGUAAUGCCUAGGAAUCUGCCUGGUAGUGGGGGAUAACGUCCGGAAACGGGCGCUAAUACCGCAUACGUCCUGAGCGAGAAAGUGGGGGAUCUUCGGACCUCACGCUAUCAGAUGAGCCUAGGUCGGAUUAGCUAGUUGGUGGGGUAAAGGCCUACCAAGGCGACGAUCCGUAACUGGUCUGAGAGGAUGAUCAGUCACACUGGAACUGAGACACGGUCCAGACUCCUACGGGAGGCAGCAGUGGGGAAUAUUGGACAAUGGGCGAAAGCCUGAUCCAGCCAUGCCGCGUGUGUGAAGAAGGUCUUCGGAUUGUAAAGCACUUUAAGUUGGGAGGAAGGGCAGUAAGUUAAUACCUUGCUGUUUUGACGUUACCAACAGAAUAAGCACCGGCUAACUUCGUG
rnacentral:rRNA from 1 species